rnacentral:rRNA from 1 species
UACGUAGGGGGCAAGCGUUGUCCGGAAUCAUUGGGCGUAAAGGGCGCGUAGGCGGCUUGCCAAGUCCGGGGUGAAAUCCUCCAGCUUAACUGGAGAAGUGCCCUGGAUACUGGCGAGCUCGAGCGAGGCAGGGGUUGUGGGAACUUCCGGUGGAGCGGUGAAAUGCGUUGAUAUCGGAAGGAACGCCGGUGGCGAAAGCGCACAACUGGUCCUCUUCUGACGCUGAGGCGCGAAAGCCAGGGGAGCAAACGGG